GUGGGGAAUAUUGGACAAUGGGCGAAAGCCUGAUCCAGCCAUGCCGCGUGUGUGAAGAAGGUCUUCGGAUUGUAAAGCACUUUAAGUUGGGAGGAAGGGCAUUAACCUAAUACGUUAGUGUUUUGACGUUACCGACAGAAUAAGCACCGGCUAACUUCGUGCCAGCAGCCGCGGUAAUACGAAGGGUGCAAGCGUUAAUCGGAAUUACUGGGCGUAAAGCGCGCGUAGGUGGUUUUGUAAGUUGGAGGUGAAAUCCCCGGGCUCAACCUGGGAACUGCCUCCAAAACUGCAUGACUAGAGUACGGUAGAGGGUAGUGGAAUUUCCUGUGUAGCGGUGAAAUGCGUAGAUAUAGGAAGGAACACCAGUGGCGAAGGCGACUACCUGGACUGAUACUGACACUGAGGUGCGAAAGCGUGGGGAGCAAACAGGAUUAGAAACCCUGGUAGUCC
rnacentral:rRNA from 1 species